rnacentral:rRNA from 1 species
AUUGAACGCUGGCGGCAUGCCUAACACAUGCAAGUCGAACGGCAGCAUGUUACUUUGCUUGCAAAGUAAUGAUGGCGAGUGGCGGACGGGUGAGUAACGCGUAGGAAUCUACCCUUAAGUUGGGGACAACCCGGGGAAACUCGGGCUAAUACCGAAUAGACACUCUUAGGAGGAAAGCUGGGGACCCGCGAGGGCCUGGCGCGUGAGGAGGAGCCUGCGUCCGAUUAGCUAGUUGGUGGGGUAAAGGCCUACCAAGGCGACGAUCGGUAGCUGGUCUGAGAAGAUGACCAGCCACACUGGGACUGAGAGACGGCCCAGACUCCUACGGGAGGCAGCAGUGGGGAAUAUUGGACAAUGGGGGCAACCCUGAUCCAGCAAUGCCGCGUGUGUGAAGAAGGCCUGAGGGUUGUAAAGCACUUUAGUUGGGGAAGAGAGAUACGAGUUUAAGAGAUACGUAUUGAGACAUUAACCAAAGAAUAAGCACCGGCUAACUCCGUGCCAGCAGCCGCCGUAA